rnacentral:rRNA from 1 species
UACGGAGGGUGCAAGCGUUAUCCGGAAUCACUGGGCGUAAAGCGCACGUAGGCGGACUCUUAAGUCGGUGGUGAAAUCCUGGAGCUCAACUCCAGAACUGCCUUCGAUACUGAGAGUCUCGAGUCCGGGAGAGGUGAGUGGAACUGCGAGUGUAGAGGUGAAAUUCGUAGAUAUUCGCAAGAACACCAGUGGCGAAGGCGGCUCACUGGCCCGGUACUGACGCUGAGGUGCGAAAGCGUGGGGAGCAAACAGG